CUAAUGUAUAACUUUUGCUUUUAUGAACUACAACAUUUUUGAAGCAAAUCUCCUUGUUAAAGCUACUACAGCCUCAUAUGCUUACAAGGAAAGAUCAUAUAUACUCUGUGGAUUGACAAACUAGUUAAGUUUUUAUUAGGAACAGUCAAUAUCCAGUGAUUCAAAUUCAGGUUAAAGGCAUCCAGUUUACAGGAUCAUUAGAAUGUGAAGCAAAUUCCUUCAGAUGUAUGCCUUUAAACUGCUACACAAACGCAUCACAGCAAUGUUCAGGUUGUAGCUGAAAAAUUUCCAGUGCACUGCUGGGGCUUGAACUCUAUGCAUUUUAGGUAAGCACACUAAAGUCAAUUUGUUGUUGAGGCUACUGCCAAAAACAUAGUCUGCUUGAAAACAGAAUAUAUCACUGAUCAUCUCAUGUUGGAAUCCCCUCCUUGUGCAGAUAAUUACCACGUAUGCGAAGCUGCUUCAUUCUGUAAUAAGGAAGGUGGGCCUGGAUUACCACAAAAGAGGAAAACUCCUGCAGAAAAUGUUGUCAGAACCUGUAUUCUUAAGAGAUGUUCUCAGGAAUCUACGGUAAACUUCACAACUUGGAAAUGCAUUUUUCCAUGAGUGAAUCUAUGAAAGUUGUUUCAGAAUUUAAAGUUCAGUGACACAGUGGUUACUCAACCUACCUUUGGCAACUUGUUAUGGAAAACUUGAAGGAGGACUGGCAAGUUGGCUCAGCAGGUAAAGCUGUUUGCCACCCAAAUCUGACCUCCUGUAUUCUGUCAUCAAAUUUAACUGUGACACAGAAGGACUAACUUCAGAGAGUUGACCUCUGAACUUCCCACUCAUGCUGCGGGUUUUGUGUGCCAACACUCACACACAUAGCUGCCUACUUCAGUCAAUGCCAGUGUGCUUUUAGAGCUAACAUCUUGCUACAUCUGUGAAGGUUUCUUUUAUUUGCUGCCUUGAAGUCUUCAAGCUGUCUUAUCGAACACUGAAGAGCAUUUUCAUACAGAAAUUCAAGAAUAAGUUUCAGUUAUUAAACAAUGAAUCUCUGAAAAUCAGGACAUGAUUUGAAUUAGGUACUUUCUCUUAUGCCUUUUACAGUUAUGUGUGUUUGUUGGCCUCUGCCACAUCCACUGUCAUCAGGUCUGACUGCAAGCACAUUCACCAAUUAUUUUACAUAGGGUGUCUAUGUCACUAAUUAAACACCAUGACCAAAAGCAACCUGGGAAGAAAAAGGUUUAUUAAUUACUCUUAAGUAUCCUGAGUCACAGUCCAUUGAGGGAAACCAAGGCAAGGACUCAAAAAGGGAAG
rnacentral:lncRNA from 1 species